rnacentral:piRNA from 1 species
UGAUCUCAUAUUAUUAAGAGCCCAAAUUU